UACGUAGGGUGCGAGCGUUAAUCGGAAUUACUGGGCGUAAAGCGUGCGCAGGCGGUUCGUUGUGUCCGUCGUGAAAGCCCCGGGCUUAACCUGGGAACUGCGAUGGAAACUAGCGAGCUGGAGUGUGGCAGAGGGGGGUGGAAUUCCGCGUGUAGCAGUGAAAUGCGUAGAGAUGCGGAGGAACACCGAUGGCGAAGGCAGCCCCCUGGGCUAACACUGACGCUCAGGUGCGAAAGCUAGGGGAGCGAACAGG
rnacentral:rRNA from 1 species